CUCUUCUCAGGUACACAAAUCAAUUCUGGCACCCAAAUCCAAGGUGAUAACGUGACGAUUAAUGUAAGUGAUGGCGCCAGUUACUAUGGCCCCAUCAUACGUAACUCAACAAUGCAGAGCAGCGAAAUGAAUGCGAAUAUUGGGUCCAACAAAAAUAAGGAGGACACCAACAGCACUGCAGAUAAUCAGGAGUCUGAGGAAGAUCCAAAGUGACUCUAAUGACAUAGAAAACACUGUUAGAACCAUCAGAGACCUCAGCCUGCACAAGUCUGCACAUAGAGCCACACAACGCUCUACUGUUUACUACCAACCACUUCAGGUCACAUAUUGUAUACAGGCCAGUCAUACCUCCACACUCAGGUUUGUUUACAAUAAAAGUACUUUAGUGUGUGUUUUA